CACGUAGGGGGCGAGCGUUGUCCGGAUUUAUUGGGCGUAAAGAGCUCGUAGGUGGCUUAGUAAGUCGGGUGUGAAACCUCCAGGCUCAACCUGGAGACGCCACCCGAUACUGCUAUAGCUUGAGUCCGGUAGGGGAGCGUGGAAUUCCUGGUGUAGCGGUGAAAUGCGCAGAUAUCAGGAGGAACACCGGUGGCGAAGGCGCCACUCUGGGCCGGUACUGACGCUGAGGAGCGAAAGCGUGGGUAGCAAACAGG
rnacentral:rRNA from 1 species